GACCACUCCGGUGGCCUAGUGGUUACAGCGUCCGCCUCGCAUGCGGGAGGUCGUGGGUUUGAUACCCAGUCGAGUCA